rnacentral:rRNA from 1 species
GAUGAACGCUGGCGGCGUGCCUAAUACAUGCAAGUCGAGCGAACAGACGAGGAGCUUGCUCCUCUGACGUUAGCGGCGGACGGGUGAGUAACACGUGGAUAACCUACCUAUAAGACUGGGAUAACUUCGGGAAACCGGAGCUAAUACCGGAUAAUAUAUUGAACCGCAUGGUUCAAUAGUGAAAGACGGUUUUGCUGUCACUUAUAGAUGGAUCCGCGCCGCAUUAGCUAGUUGGUAAGGUAACGGCUUACCAAGGCAACGAUGCGUAGCCGACCUGAGAGGGUGAUCGCCCACCCUGGAACUGAGACACGGUCCAGACUCCUACGGGAGGCAGCAGUAGGGAAUCGUCCGCAGUGGGCGAAAGCCUGACGGAGCGACGCGGCGUGAGUGAUGAAGGUCUUCGGAUCGUAAAACUCUGUUAUUAGGGAAGAACAAAUGUGUAAGUAACUAUGCACGUCUUGACGGUACCUAAUCAGAAAGCCACGGCUAACUACGUG